GCCUAGGUGGCUCAGUGGUUGAGCAUCUGCCUUCAGCUCAGGCAUGAUCCUGGGGUCCUGGGAUCAAGUCCCACACUGGGCU
rnacentral:tRNA from 1 species